rnacentral:rRNA from 1 species
GAUGAACGCUGGCGGUGUGCCUAAUACAUGCAAGUCGAGCGAAUGGAUUAAGAGCUUGCUCUUAUGAAGUUAGCGGCGGACGGGUGAGUAACACGUGGGUAACCUGCCCAUAAGACUGGGAUAACUCCGGGAAACCGGGGCUAAUACCGGAUAACAUUUUGAACCGCAUGGUUCGAAAUUGAAAGGCGGCUUCGGCUGUCACUUAUGGAUGGACCCGCGUCGCAUUAGCUAGUUGGUGAGGUAACGGCUCACCAAGGCAACGAUGCGUAGCCGACCUGAGAGGGGGAUCGGCCACAUUGGGACUGAGACACGGCCCAGACUCCUACGGGAGGCAGCAGUAGGGAAUCUUCCGCAAUGGACGAAAGUCUGACGGAGCAACGCCGCGUGAGUGAUGAAGGCUUUCGGGUCGUAAAACUCUGUUGUUAGGGAAGAACAAGUGCUAGUUGAAUAAGCUGACACCUUGACGGUACCUAACCAGAAAGCCACGGCUAACUACGUGCCAGCAGCCGCGGUAA